rnacentral:rRNA from 2 species
CUCUCGGCAACGGAUAUCUCGGCUCUCGCAUCGAUGAAGAACGUAGCGAAAUGCGAUACCUGGUGUGAAUUGCAGAAUCCCGCGAACCAUCGAGUCUUUGAACGCAAGUUGCGCCCGAGGCCAUUCGGCCGAGGGCACGCCUGCCUGGGCGUCACGCUAAACA